GACGAACGCUGGCGGCGUGCUUAACACAUGCAAGUCGAACGGAAAGGCCCUGCUUUUGUGGGGUGCUCGAGUGGCGAACGGGUGAGUAACACGUGAGUAACCUGCCCUUGACUUUGGGAUAACUUCAGGAAACUGGGGCUAAUACCGUAUAGGAGCUCCUGCUGCAUGGUGGGGGUUGGAAAGUUUCGGCGGUUGGGGAUGGACUCGCGGCUUAUCAGCUUGUUGGUGGGGUAGUGGCUUACCAAGGCUUUGACGGGUAGCCGGCCUGAGAGGGUGACCGGCCACAUUGGGACUGCGAUACGGCCCAGACUCCUACGGGAGGCAGCAGUGGGGAAUAUUGCACAAUGGGCGGAAGCCUGAUGCAGCAACGCCGCGUGCGGGAUGACGGCCUUCGGGUUGUAAACCGCUUUCGCCUGUGACGAAGCGUGAGUGACGGUAAUGGGUAAAGAAGCACCGGCUAACUACGUG
rnacentral:rRNA from 1 species